rnacentral:rRNA from 1 species
CCAGACUCCUACGGGAGGCAGCAGUGAGGAAUAUUGGUCAAUGGCCGAGAGGCUGAACCAGCCAAGUCGCGUGAGGGAAGACGGCCCUACGGGUUGUAAACCUCUUUUGUCGGGGAGCAAAGCGAACCACGUGUGGUUCAUUGAGAGUACCCGAAGAAAAAGCAUCGGCUAACUCCGUGCCAGCAGCCGCGGUAAUACGGAGGAUGCGAGCGUUAUCCGGAUUUAUUGGGUUUAAAGGGUGCGCAGGCGGAUUUUUAAGUCAGCGGUCAAAUCGUGGGGCUCAACCCCAUCCAGCCGUUGAAACUGGGGAUCUAGAGUGCGCGAAGGGUAGGCGGAAUGCGUGGUGUAGCGGUGAAAUGCAUAGAUAUCACGCAGAACUCCGAUCGCGAAGGCAGCCUACCGGCGCGCAACUGACGCUCAUGCACGAAAGCGUGGGUAUCGAACAGGAUUAGAUACCCCGGUA